CAAUUACGUCAGAGGAGUGAGCCAUCUUUCUACUUUCUACUCUUUGAUACACCACGUGAGGAUACAAAGCCGUACAAUUGGAUAUUGGCACAUCAUGUGAUGGUGCAUGAUUGUCUGAUUGGACACUGAAUUUGCCAACGAGCUGAAGCGCUUCCAUGUUGCCGGAAAACAACACCAGCGGCAUUUUCGGAAAGGCUGAAGUCUCCUCUUUUCAACAAAAAAACAAGCAAGUUAUUAUAUUGAGCCGUUCCGGAGAUAUUCGCUGUUAUGUAACGCUUGUCCCUCGGGAUCGUAUACGAUGCCGUAGACUCCGAAGAGGCCCGCCAACCAGUGAUAGCGGCAGAGAUGCGCGUGCGCGCACACACAGGAGAAAGAGUAGCAAAGUAACGGUCACACAGUUGAAACUACGCGGCGGUUUUGCACGGCGGGCCAGUUUAGCUUUUUUCGUCUGUGAGGAUAAAUUUCUGAUGGCACAACGCGACUAAAGAGCACGGUGAUCCAAAUCUGUGUGGACCACAGAGAACCAUUGAGAACUACAAUUCUGCUGUUGAUCGCCUCCAGAGUGAAGGAACAUCACCAGAUGUGGAAGGAGUAAAGUAUAAAUCGAAAUGGAUGAUGCAGAGCAAAUCAACAUAGGCAGUGCCAUCACAAGGGUGUUACCAGACCUCCCAGCCUCAAUCUUGGAUAUUUUAGUGGAAACACUCCAAUCACUGGGGGUAGAGACCACUGAGGAUUUACACUUCAUUCAGGAAGCUGAUCUGCUUACUACGCUGAGACCAAUUCAAGCAAGAAGAUUGGUAGCUGCCUGGAAACAAACCACACAAACCAGUGAAGGCCAUAGCCAGUCAGUGUUGUCCUCUCCAUCUUCUUCAACAUGCUCUUCAGUCAGUCUCUCUCCAUCCUCCACCCAUUGGAUUACUGCUGCAGACUGGGUUGACAACUUCCAGAUCCCAUGGAUGAAGUUUCCUGAAGGUUUGAUGCAGUGUUUAGAGAGGGGGGAAAGGCCAAAUCCACGGCUACGCAGAGAGAUGGUCCGGAUUGUUGUUACUGAAAUGAUGAAAGCCUGUGCCUCUCCCAGUACAAAAGCCUCUACAGAAGUUGCCAAAAAAAUGAUUGCAAAGUAUCCACAGUCACUGAAAGAUGUGAUAGCAGGUGAUGUGGUUGGACUAGGAUACUACUCACUAGUCAAGCAGUUACAAGCGAGAAUUGAAAAUGUGAAGCGGUCUUCAGCACCAAGGAUAAAGAAGCGCAAACAGGAUUCAGAUCAGUAUGACACAGAUGAAAUCCCAGGUGAACAAAGGGCAGCUAUGCAGGACCUAUGGUUGCAUAAAGUGGGAAAUGGAAUAUAUGCCAGUGAGUGAGACACCAGAAAGCCAACAGGAGAAGAAAGACAAAAUGAAAGCACUCAGUGAACAGACUAACUUCAGCCCAGGUGAAAUAGAAACUCUUAUGAAGUGUACCUACUACAGCCAACGUAAAGACAUAAACAAGGGAACAGAUCUGCAAUCCCUCAUGGAGGGGUGGCCAUUUUUGUUCAAGGAGAUUGGCAUGACAGUCCACUUCCAAGAGCUCACUGGGAUAUCGCUGAAAGAGACUUUCCUCACCAAUGUAGAAAAAAAGGGAAAACGGCUUCUGGACUUCAUGAGAAACAGUUGUGCAGACAAGAGCAGAAGAGUUCUUCAGGCUGCCACAAAGCUGGAAAUUCUGAGAGGACAGUUGGAGGGCUGCUCAGAAGAUGUCAAGGAUAUGGUGCUCCUUCUUCUCUCCUACUUUGAUGAAAAAGAGGAGAACCUCUUCCACUACGUUGAGCAAACAUGUCUGGCAAAAGAAGUACACGUGGAAAGUUUGCCUGUGACGCCAUGCAUCAUUGUAUGUGGAACGUCAUGCUAUGCCGCAAGACAGUUCAUGCUGAGUGUAGAUUGCAAAGUUGUGAAUGACCACAUCCCCGACUUCAUCUCUGCCAUCUGUUUGAUGUUUGGAACCUACUACUGCCUCAAUAUCCAUUACCCCGUGAGUCUGGGCUCCACACUUGAGUUCCUUCAGAGGUGUUUCUUCAUGAUCAAUCCUGAGAGGGGCACAAAAGUUGAAACAAAGAAGAACAAGAAACAGCUGUCGGUGAACCCAAGAGUCCUCACUCUCAUCACAAAUCUCGCUGACCAGGAUUGGAGAGGGACAUGUUAAAGAUGGACCUGUCCAGCUGAACUGUUCAAGUCUGACCUCCUCCACAGCAUAACGUAAUUAAUUAACCUGUGUAUUAUUGUGUUGAUUAUUUGAUUAUUGAUUGGUUUGGUUCAUAAAAUGUCAGAAAUGGUGAAAAUGUGGAUCACUGUUUUCAAUGUCUCUGGGGACUCUUUCAGUUACUUUAAACUGCGGUGUGUUUUCUAGCUGGCCUUCUUUUUUUUGUUACUAGAAGCAACUUUCCAGAGAGGACAGACGAUGAAAAGAGAUGUGGUAACUGAACAUCAGUGACUUCAUUAAAGUUUGAGUUGUGUUUUCUAGAUUUGACUUGGGUUUUUUUUUUU